rnacentral:rRNA from 1 species
AGUCGAGCGGUAGAGAGAAGCUUGCUUCUCUUGAGAGCGGCGGACGGGUGAGUAAUGCCUAGGAAUCUGCCUGGUAGUGGGGGAUAACGUUCGGAAACGAACGCUAAUACCGCAUACGUCCUACGGGAGAAAGCAGGGGACCUUCGGGCCUUGCGCUAUCAGAUGAGCCUAGGUCGGAUUAGCUAGUUGGUGAGGUAAUGGCUCACCAAGGCGACGAUCCGUAACUGGUCUGAGAGGAUGAUCAGUCACACUGGAACUGAGACACGGUCCAGACUCCUACGGGAGGCAGCAGUGGGGAAUAUUGGACAAUGGGCGAAAGCCUGAUCCAGCCAUGCCGCGUGUGUGAAGAAGGUCUUCGGAUUGUAAAGCACUUUAAGUUGGGAGGAAGGGCAGUUACCUAAUACGUGAUUGUUUUGACGUUACCGACAGAAUAAGCACCUGUUAACUCUGUGCCAGCAGCCGCGGUAAUACAGAGGGUGCAAGCGUUAAUCGGAAUUACUGGGCGUAAAGCGCGCGUAGGUGGUUUGUUAAGUUGGAUGUGAAAUCCCCGGGCUCAACCUGGGAACUGCAUUCAAAACUGACUGACUAGAGUAUGGUAGAGGGUGGUGGAAUUUCCUGUGUAGCGGUGAAAUGCGUAGA